UACGGGGGGAGCAAGCGUUGUUCGGAUUUACUGGGCGUAAAGGGCGCGUAGGCGGCCACUGCAAGUCGGUUGUGAAAUCUCCGGGCUUAACCCGGAAAGGUCAGCCGAUACUGCGGGGCUAGAGUGCAGAAGGGGCAACUGGAAUUCUCGGUGUAGCGGUGAAAUGCGUAGAUAUCGAGAGGAACACCUGCGGCGAAGGCGGGUUGCUGGGCUGACACUGACGCUGAGGCGCGAAAGCUAGGGGAGCGAACGGG
rnacentral:rRNA from 1 species